UUCUAAUAUGGCAGAUUAGUGCAGUGGAUUUAAGCUCCACAAAUAAAGUUAAAUACUUUUUUUAGAA
rnacentral:tRNA from 1 species